UCUUAGCCCCGAUUGAAACGGCAUCCUGCCAACCGUAGGACGGCAGAUAGAGCGCAAAGCGGGAAAUGCC
rnacentral:sRNA from 1 species